GAUGAAGAACGCAGCGAAAUGCGAUACUUGGUGUGAAUUGCAGAAUCCCGUGAACCAUCGAGUCUUUGAACGCAAGUUGCGCCCGAAGCCAUUAGGCCGAGGGCACGCCUGCCUGGGCGUCACACGUCGUUGCCCCCCCCAUCUACUCCUUCGGGAUUGCGGGGGGCGGAUGAUGACCUCCCGUGCGCCUCGCCGCGCGGUUGGCAUAAAUGCCAAGUCCUCGGCGACGCACGCCACGACAAUCGGUGGUUGCGAAACCUCGGUUGCCCGUCGUGUGCGGUCGUCGCGCAUCGAGGGCUCGAAAAAAUUGCCGAGUUCCGGCUCGGCUUUCAACGCGACCCCAGGUCAGGCGGGGUUACCCGCUGAAUUUAAGCAUAUCAAUAAGCGGAGGA
rnacentral:misc_RNA from 1 species